rnacentral:lncRNA from 1 species
GCAAAUUGAGACACGUUCAUUAUUACAAGUAAAACACCAGUGGACAGCCUUUAAUAGUUCAAUUUCCAACGCAGCCAAUCUAGAACGGUGUAAUUCAAAAAGUGGUUUGAGAAGUAGUCCUACCUCUCCGAACGCGCCUUUACCUAUGACAGUCAACUGUUCGAAGUCAUCAAUCCCAACUUUGCGUCUUUGGAGCCUCAUGAACUCAGUUUCUCUCCUUGCCAGGUUCUUCAUCAAUUCCUCCUGGUCCUCAGUUGAUACCUGAGCCUCUUGCGCUCUGCGUUGGAGAGUCCGCCGUCUGGAAACAGAGGGAAUGCAAAACCAUGCUUACAACUUCUAAGAAAGAAACGUAAACUGGAACCCCGCCAGAGAAAUAACUAAUAGCUGUUAAUUAGUCUGUUUGUCUAUUGAAUUAAGCUGCUGGCCAUAUAUAUGUUGGCGCAGCGCCACUUUUAUUUAGUUCGCGUUGACCUCCCAUCGAAUUCGUUCUAAAUAAAUCAAAGCUAAUUCCGGUAACAAAACAUAGAAGGCCGAAUUCCAAAUUUUCCAAUCGAAUCAAAACAAAGAGAAAACAAAAUGAAAGAUCCGAGAUACAUUGAUCGGAAGGAACAAAGUGACGGACCUCUCUUUACGAUCCUGCAAUCCUUGCAAAUAAUUCUUGUAAUGAUUCUCGAUGAACUGCUUGGCGGCAGCAGCUUUCUGCCUGGUGACCGGCGAGGAAACAGACACAUCCGGACCAGAGUCAAGACCACUCCGCUCCUGGCGUAAGUUCAAAGCCCCUAAUCUCACCGUACCAUCACCACCGCCGUCCAUUGCUCGGACGAAUCAAGGUAGCAGGAAAGAUCAAAGAUCGAAUAUGAGCACAGACGAGUGACGACUAGCAAAAGGAAUCAGAAGAACUCCAUCUGGAUUGAUUGAGGAGUAAGCUAUUUACAGCUCACAGCAAGGAACGAGGUGAGAUCUAAGCGGCGGUGUUGUCAGUGUUGUAGAAAAUGACUGAGAGAGAGAGAAGUUGAAGAGGUGAAGAAUUCUAAAGAAAUGAAGCGAAAUGAACUGGCGAGAUUUGUGCGAAAAUAUUGCAAAUUGAGACACGUUCAUUAUUACAAGUAAAACACCAGUGGACAGCCUUUAAUAGUUCAAUUUCCAACGCAGCCAAUCUAGAACGGUGUAAUUCAAAAAGUGGUUUGAGAAGUAGUCCUACCUCUCCGAACGCGCCUUUACCUAUGACAGUCAACUGUUCGAAGUCAUCAAUCCCAACUUUGCGUCUUUGGAGCCUCAUGAACUCAGUUUCUCUCCUUGCCAGGUUCUUCAUCAAUUCCUCCUGGUCCUCAGUUGAUACCUGAGCCUCUUGCGCUCUGCGUUGGAGAGUCCGCCGUCUGGAAACAGAGGGAAUGCAAAACCAUGCUUACAACUUCUAAGAAAGAAACGUAAACUGGAACCCCGCCAGAGAAAUAACUAAUAGCUGUUAAUUAGUCUGUUUGUCUAUUGAAUUAAGCUGCUGGCCAUAUAUAUGUUGGCGCAGCGCCACUUUUAUUUAGUUCGCGUUGACCUCCCAUCGAAUUCGUUCUAAAUAAAUCAAAGCUAAUUCCGGUAACAAAACAUAGAAGGCCGAAUUCCAAAUUUUCCAAUCGAAUCAAAACAAAGAGAAAACAAAAUGAAAGAUCCGAG